rnacentral:rRNA from 1 species
AGUGAACGCUGGCGGUAGGCCUAACACAUGCAAGUCGAACGGCAGCACAGGAUAGCUUGCUCUCUGGGUGGCGAGUGGCGGACGGGUUAGGAAUACAUCGGAAUCUACCUUUUCGUGGGGGAUAACGUAGGGAAACUUACGCUAAUACCGCAUACGACCUACGGGUGAAAGUGGGGGACCGCAAGGCCUCACGCGAUUAGAUGAGCCGAUGUCCGAUUAGCUAGUUGGCGGGGUAAUGGCCCACCAAGGCGACGAUCGGUAGCUGGUCUGAGAGGAUGAUCAGCCACACUGGAACUGAGACACGGUCCAGACUCCUACGGGAGGCAGCAGUGGGGAAUAUUGGACAAUGGGCGCAAGCCUGAUCCAGCCAUACCGCGUGCGUGAAGAAGGCCUUCGGGUUGUAAAGCCCUUUUGUUGGGAAAGAAAUCCUGUCGAUUAAUACUCGGUGGGGAUGACGGUACCCAAAGAAUAAGCACCGGCUAACUUCGUG